ACAGAGACAGAGGCAUCUGAGAGGGAGAAAAAGCUGACCGAGAUGGAGGCGGAUGGACAGGAAGAAGAACCUGAACCAGCGUGGCUUUAAAUAGCCACCGGUAGUUAUGAUAUCAUAAAGUUACCUGUAGUGCUAUCUGCUCUGGCUAUGUCUGACUGGAGCCUGUCCUUCCUGUGAUCCUGGUUGUCAGAACUCCUCUGAGUCAAGCUGCCUCUGGGAUCCUAUGGUCCUGAGAUCCUGAGAUCCUGGGUGUGUCUCAGCUCUUAGGAGUCAAGCUUCCUUUGGGACCUUGAGAUCCUGGUGUGACCAAGCUCCUGGGAUCCUCUGAUCUUGGGAGCAUGAACAGCUCACCUAUUCCUCCACGAGGUCCAAGGCCCCAAGCGUCAUCGUCACGGGCCUCAAGUCCGCCACCACAUACAUAUUUCACAUCCGAGUGAGGACGGCGACAGGCUACAGUGGCUGCAGUCAGAAGUUUGAAUUUGAAACAGGAGAAGAAAAUAAGUUUCACUCAAAGAUGUGCUGCUCAAGUAAAAUGCUCAUUUAGGACUGUUCCAGUUGAUCUGAUAUUAGAAAGCCAGGUGGUCCUAUUUCUAACAGCCCUUCCAAAUUGGGUAUGUUUCCUAUACCUACACAUUCCUAUACAUUCGAGUUACUCUUUAGAUGAUAAUAAAUAACUUCUGAAAUGCCUUGCUCUCAAACAGUCAAUGUGUCACAAAAAUGCCCCAUUGUACAGAAUUUAUCACUCAUGCUAUUACACAGCCUCUU
rnacentral:lncRNA from 1 species